rnacentral:rRNA from 1 species
AUUGAACGCUGGCGGAAUGCUUUACACAUGCAAGUCGAACGGCAGCACGGGGCAACCUGGUGGCGAGUGGCGAACGGGUGAGUAAUACAUCGGAACGUGCCCAGUCGUGGGGGAUAACGUAGCGAAAGUUACGCUAAUACCGCAUACGAUCUAAGGAUGAAAGCGGGGGAUCGCAAGACAUCGCGCGAUUGGAGCGGCCGAUGUCAGAUUAGGUAGUUGGUGGGGUAAAGGCCCACCAAGCCGACGAUCUGUAGCUGGUCUGAGAGGACGACCAGCCACACUGGGACUGAGACACGGCCCAGACUCCUACGGGAGGCAGCAGUGGGGAAUUUUGGACAAUGGGCGCAAGCCUGAUCCAGCCAUUCCGCGUGCAGGAUGAAGGCCUUCGGGUUGUAAACUGCUUUUGUACGGAGCGAAAAGGCUCUCUCUAAUACAGGGGGCUCAUGACGGUACCGUAAGAAUAAGCACCGGCUAACUACGUGCCAGCCGCCGCAGUAA